GGUGGUUCUGCGCGUGGUGCAGCGACCGUGGGCCUGACGGCGAGGAGGUGGACGAAGCGAUUAUGCGUGGAACAAUCGUCGGCAAUUUAUUUACCAUGUGCGCUUCAGAUUGACAGAGAUGAGACCCUCCUCAUGCUCAGGCACGUGCUCUGAGCGGUUGUUGGUGGUUCAAGAGAAGUGACGUAGCAAAUCGGUGAUGAUUUCAAGCUAUUGUGUUUUGUCUGACGAGUCGAUUUCUUAAGUCGAUAAAGAUGCGUUGAAUUAAAGCUUCUUGUACGAUUUGUGAAGGUGAUUGUUGAGCGUCAAGUUGUUGUUGUAUUGACUAACCGCUGGAUUAUUGUUGCUUUUUUGGCAGGUUUUAUGAUGAUGGAACUGUGAAUAUGUUUAAUUGAUGGAUUAGUGGUUUUACGCUAAUGGAUGAAGGUUCUGCAGAAGGAUUGGGAAGAAGUAACGUUACAGCUUGUGAUGGAGAAUUGGUUGAUGAAAAGGUUGAAAAUAUGGAUCAAUUUUCUGGAAUUCUGGUGAACAUGGUUCAGGUUUUAAGGAAGAUUGCAAUUAACGGUUUGGAGGAAGUUUGAGAUUAAUUUUGGUGGAGUGACAACACUAUUUUCUUCCUUUCUUGUGUGAAAUUGUUCGCGAUGAAAAGUGUAUAUAAAAAAAGGAUGGUGUGAACUCCUUUUGUACGUGAGGGAUUGAGAGUGUAUGAAAGUGAAUAAGGGUUGUAUGAGUUACCAAUAGUGGGAAUAGGUUAGGUUUUUCUCUCCCUUUUGUGAAUUAUGGCUCCUCUUUUUAUAGCAUAGCUUUUAGGGUUUUUUAAUGUGUAACUUGGGCCUUACUAAAAAAUAGACAAUGGACCUCUGGAGAUUUCUUGGA